UUGUCUCAAAGAUUAAGCCAUGCAUGUCUCAGUACAAGCCAAAUUAAGGUGAAACCGCGAAAGGCUCAUUAAAUCAGUUAUGGUUCCUUAGAUGGUACCCACAUUUACUUGGAUAACUGUGGUAAUUCUAGAGCUAAUACAUGCAAACAGAGUUCCGACCGGAGACGGAAGGAAACGCUUUUAUUAGAACAAAACCAAUCGGCAUUGAAUGCUAUUGCUCAUUGUGGUAGUAGUGUACUUUGUCGUACAUUUUGAUGAAUCUGAAUAAAUUUUUGCUGAUCGCAUGGUCUCGCACCGGCGACGCAUCUUUCAAAUGUCUGCCUUAUCAACUGUCGAUGGUAGGUUCUGUGCCUACCAUGGUUGUAACGGGUAACGGGGAAUCAGGGUUCGAUUCCGGAGAGGGAGCCUGAGAAACGGCUACCACAUCCAAGGAAGGCAGCAGGCGCGCAAAUUACCCACUCCCGGCACGGGGAGGUAGUGACGAAAAAUAACGAUACGGGACUCAUCCGAGGCCCCGUAAUCGGAAUGAGUACACUCUAAAUCCUUUAACGAGUAUCAAUUGGAGGGCAAGUCUGGUGCCAGCAGCUGCGGUAAUUCCAGCUCCAAUAGCGUAUAUUAAAGUUGUUGCGGUUAAAAAGCUCGUAGUCGAAUCUGUGUCCCGUGCCGCCGGUUCAUCGUUCGCGGUGUUAACUGGCGUGAUCGCGGGACGUCCUGCCGGUGGGCUCAGUCUUGGCAUGUUUCAUGUAUGCGCUUUGUUGUUCAGUUGCGCUAAAUCGCUCUGUUCAUACAUUCGUGUGCGUGUUCUUGUUGGGCGGCCCAACUUAAAAUCCCGCUGCGGUGCUCUUUACUGAGUGUCGAAGCGGGCCGGCACGUUUACUUUGAACAAAUUAGAGUGCUUAAAGCAGGCUAAUUUUGCCUGAAUACUGUGUGCAUGGAAUAAUGGAAUAGGACCUCGGUUCUAUUUUGUUGGUUUUCGGAACCCCGAGGUAAUGAUUAAUAGGAACGGAUGGGGGCAUUCGUAUUGCGACGUUAGAGGUGAAAUUCUUGGAUCGUCGCAAGACGGACAGAAGCGAAAGCAUUUGCCAAAAACGCUUUCAUUGAUCAAGAACGAAAGUUAGAGGUUCGAAGGCGAUCAGAUACCGCCCUAGUUCUAACCAUAAACGAUGCCAGCUAGCGAUCCGCCGACGUUCCUCCGAUGACACGGCGGGCAGCUUCCGGGAAACCAAAGCUUUUGGGUUCCGGGGGAAGUAUGGUUGCAAAGCUGAAACUUAAAGGAAUUGACGGAAGGGCACCACCAGGAGUGGAGCCUGCGGCUUAAUUUGACUCAACACGGGAAACCUCACCAGGCCCGGACACCGGAAGGAUUGACAGAUUGACAGCUCUUUCUUGAUUCGGUGGGUGGUGGUGCAUGGCCGUUCUUAGUUGGUGGAGCGAUUUGUCUGGUUAAUUCCGAUAACGAAC
rnacentral:rRNA from 1 species